AUUGAACGCUGGCGGCAUGCUUUACACAUGCAAGUCGAACGGUAACAGCACUUCGGUGGCUGACGAGUGGCGAACGGGUGAGUAAUACAUCGGAACGUGCCUAGUAGUGGGGGAUAACUACUCGAAAGAGUAGCUAAUACCGCAUGAGAUCUAAGGAUGAACGCAGGGGACCUUCGGGCCUUGCGCUACUAGAGCGGCUGAUGGCAGAUUAGGUAGUUGGUGGGAUAAAAGCUUACCAAGCCGACGAUCUGUAGCUGGUCUGAGAGGACGACCAGCCACACUGGGACUGAGACACGGCCCAGACUCCUACGGGAGGCAGCAGUGGGGAAUUUUGGACAAUGGGCGCAAGCCUGAUCCAGCAAUGCCGCGUGCAGGAUGAAGGCCUUCGGGUUGUAAACUGCUUUUGUACGGAACGAAAAGCCCUCUUCUAAUACAGGAGGGUCAUGACGGUACCGUAAGAAUAAGCACCGGCUAACUACGUG
rnacentral:rRNA from 1 species